GCGUGUGGACGGCUCG
rnacentral:rRNA from 1 species